GGCCCUAUGGGGUGCAGCAGGCGAGAAAACUUUGCAAUGUGCGAAAGCACGACAAGGUUAAUCCGAGUGGUUUCUGCUAAAGGAACCUUUUGCCAGUCCUAGAAACACUAGUGAAUAAGGGGUGGGCAAGUUCUGGUGUCAGCCGCCGCGGUAAAACCAGCACCUCAAGUGGUCAGGAUGAUUAUUGGGCCUAAAGCAUCCGUAGCCUGCUUUGCCAGUUUUCGGUUAAAUCCAUACGCUCAACGUAUGGGCUGCCGGAAAUACUACAAAGCUAGGGAGUGGGAGAGGUAGACGGUACUCGGUAGGAAGGGGUAAAAUCCUUUGAUCUAUUGAUGACCACCUGUGGCGAAGGCGGUCUACCAGAACACGUCCGACGGUGAGGGAUGAAAGCUGGGGGAGCAAACCGGAUUAGAUACCCGGGUAGUCCCAGCUGUAAACUAUGCAAACUCGGUGAUGCAUUGGCUUGAUGCCAAUGCAGUGCCGCAGGGAAGCCGUUAAGUUUGCCGCCUGGAAAGUACGUACGCAAGUAUGAAACUUAAAGGAAUUGGCGGGGGAGCAC
rnacentral:rRNA from 1 species